UGCCAGCCGCCGCGGUAAUACAGAGGUGGCGAGCGUUGUUCGGAUUUACUGGGCGUAAAGGGUGCGUAGGCGGCUUGUUAAGCUGGAUGUGAAAUCCCGGGGCUCAACCCCGGAACUGCAUCCGGAACUGGCAGGCUAGAGACCAGGAGGGGAGAGGAGAAUUCAUGGUGUAGCGGUGAAAUGCGUUGAUAUCAUGAAGAAUACCGGUGGCGAAGGCGCCUCUCUGGAAUGGUUCUGACGCUGAGGCACGAAAGCGUGGGGAGCGAACAGGAUUAGAUA
rnacentral:rRNA from 1 species